CCUACGGGUGACAGCAGUGAGGAAUAUUGGUCAAUGGGCGCGAGCCUGAACCAGCCAAGUCGCGUGAGGGAAUACGGUCCUAUGGAUUGUAAACCUCUUUUGUCGGGGCGCAAAAGACGCCACGCGUGGCGUUCCGAGAGUACCCGGAGGAACAGCAUCGGCUAACUACGUGCCAGAAGCCGCGGUAAUACGGAGGAUGGGGGCGGUAUCCGGGUUUAUUGGGUUUAAAGGGUGCGCAGGCGGAAGAGCAAGUCGGCGGUAAAAUGGAGGGGCGCAAGCUCUUCGAGCCUUUGAAACUGGUUUUCUUGAGUGAGCGAGAAGUAUGCGGAAUGCGUGGUGUAGCGGUGAAAUGCAUAGAUAUCACGCAGAACUCCGAUUGCGAAGGCAGCAUACCGGCGCUCAACUGACGCUCAUGCACGAAAGUGUGGGUAUCGAACAGGAUUAGAUACCCGGGUAGUC
rnacentral:rRNA from 1 species